rnacentral:rRNA from 1 species
UAAGACGAAGGAUGCAAGCGUUAUCCGGAUUCAUUGGGUUUAAAGGGAGCGUAGGUGGCCUUAUAAGUCAGUGGUGAAAUCUCGAGGCUUAACCUCGAAAUUGCCAUUGAUACUGUAGGGCUUGAGUACAGUUGCUGUGGGCGGAAUAUGACAUGUAGUGGUGAAAUACAUAGAGAUGUCAUAGAACACCGAUUGCGAAGGCAGCUCACAAAACUGUAACUGACACUGAGGCUCGAAAGUGCGGGGAUCAAACAGGAUUAGAUACCCUGGUAGUCCGCACUGUAAACGAUGAUUACUCGCUGCUAGAUGGCAACAUUUAGUGGCUUAGCGAAAGCGAUAAGUAAUCCACCUGGGGAGUACGCCGGCAACGGUG